rnacentral:rRNA from 1 species
GACAGAGGGUGCAAACGUUGUUCGGAAUUACUGGGCGUAAAGCGAGUGUAGGCGGUGUGGUAAGUCGGAUGUGAAAGCCCCGGGCUCAACCCGGGAAGUGCAUUCGAUACUGCCACGCUAGAGUAUCGGAGAGGUUGGUGGAAUUCUCGGUGUAGAGGUGAAAUUCGUAGAUAUCGAGAGGAACACCGGUGGCGAAGGCGGCCAACUGGACGAAUACUGACGCUGAGACUCGAAAGCGUGGGGAGCAAACAGU